GUGAAAGGCUGUAAUAAUUUAGUUAUUCAUAACUUACUCUGUUUAAUGUGUAUCUCUCCUUAAAAUAAUUUGCAUAAUUGAAGAUCAUACAAUUAGUAGUAAGAAAUCAAUAGAUUACUAAGGGAAUAACAGUACUUAAUGAAUGAAUAAUUUCUUCCAAUGAGAAUAUACUUAUGAUAUAAUACUUUUGCUAUAACUCUGUUUUUUGUUUGAGUUUUUAUGCAUCUGUAGGUCGGAAAGUCUGAUCAUAUAUCCAGUACUGAGGAAGCCAGGUAAUAGAGAAAGAAAAAGUAUUAGUUGUUGAUAAUGUCAGUUGACAUAGCUUGUAAAUAUUUAAACUCUAAGUCAUAUUUGCAGAUUUUUAGACACUACAGUAGGUAAAAUUAAAUAACUAAUUAAUCAAUAGGUACAAAUGAAAGAAGAUACUUCAUGAUUGCUGAACAACAAUGCUCACCCUCAGUAUUUAGAGGAUACAAGUUCUUCAAGUCAAGUUUUCCUCUGUGCAGCUGUCUUCAUCUGGCCAUGUCUGACAACUUGACUUUGUUACUUCAUAGUAGAAGGUGUCUGAGACUGUUUUUUGAUAUCAUCUUGACAUAGGAGUUGGUUGGUUAAAGGACAAGCAUCGCCCAGACAUUGAUGGAGCCAGAGGGCCUAUCCUGGACAUCAUGUGCAGAGAAGAUGGAUCCCGGGAGCUGCUGGAGCCAGUAGGACCAGCCAUACAGAGGAGAUGGAUGCAGGCAGCUGAUGGAGCCAGGAGGACCAGCCAUGAAGUGGAGAUAGAUGCAGGCACCUGAUGGAGCCAGGAGGACCAGUCAUGAAAUGGAGAUGGAUGCAGUCAGCUGAUGGAGCCAUGAGGACCAGUGAUGCAGAGAAGAUUGAUCCAAGGAACCAAUGGAAUCUGGAGGACCAGACAGGCCUAUGUGUCAGGGAGGCAGAUACAUAGAACAGUUCAGUUAAGAAGUAUCCCAGACAGACUCCCUCUAUUGACCUAGAUCUCCAACAUGUCCUCCCACCUGUGGAUGAGAUUCAUUACACUAAGGAAGUCAGUGGUCCUGUCUUACCUUAAUAUUGUAGUUUAUUUUCUCCUGGAUUUUAGAGCUAGGGAUUUAUUAUGUUCUCAUCUGAGAAAAGCCAAACAAUAAUCUAGUUGUUGUCUAAUUG
rnacentral:lncRNA from 1 species